rnacentral:rRNA from 1 species
UACAGAGGGGGCAAGCGUUGUUCGGAAUUACUGGGCGUAAAGGGCGCGUAGGCGGCCUGUUAAGUCGAACGUGAAAUCCCCGGGCUCAACCCGGGAACUGCGUCCGAUACUGGCUGGCUUGAAUCCGGGAGAGGGAUGCGGAAUUCCAGGUGUAGCGGUGAAAUGCGUAGAUAUCUGGAGGAACACCGGUGGCGAAGGCGGCAUCCUGGACCGGUAUUGACGCUGAGGCGCGAAAGCCAAGGGAGCAAACGGG